rnacentral:misc_RNA from 1 species
UGCAGCCCAUGCAGAUUCUAAACCGG